UUUCAGCCAUCUUGGGCACCUCCUCUCAGGGCCUCGUCUCACCAUUAGACAUCUCGUUCCCAGUUAUAAUUUGCGAGGUUAGAUCAGGCUGCGCCAUGGCGUCCGCUACUGCUGUCAAGAUCGCCGCCAUCUUCAUGCUGGUGCUGACCAUGGGCCACCUGAUGGCCGAAGCAUCACCGCAGCCUCGGCGCCUGCUUGCAGAAACGGAGCAUGCUGGGGUGUCUGGGAAUGGGAAUCCUGGCCUCCCAGGCGAUGCUAGCGUCAUGCAGAUCCUCUUCCUGGCUCAACGGAACUUCAGGGAAAUGGCUGUGUGACGUCGGCCAAAGAAUAAAUUGGCUGAACAUAAUAUACCCCGGGUAGUGUAGCUUGGGCUUUUGUUCAGCGUCUGGUACUAGUUAUAUUUUGUUUGCUCAUGUGGCUUUGCUUCUGGUUGCAUAUUGGCUUUCCUAUCGCUCUAUGUUGCAGCUAUGGUUUCUGCCAGGUGUGUGUUAAUGCGGUUUGUAAGCGGUGCUUGUUCCUACCUUCUGUUUUCAAUAAAAGAAGUCGGAGUCUCCCUCCGACUCUUGUUAUCAGUCAAGAAAAAUGAGUUGGAUCA